GCAAACUGACCUGACAGACCUGUUGACAAAAAAAUCUCUUUACGUGGGAGUCAGAAACCAGAGCAGCUGAGCAAACCUCCCGUCACCACCCUGUCAGCGCCAGCACUCGGUGUGAUGGCGGGUGCUCCGAAUCAAGGGUGGCAUGAUGCCUACUUAAGGAGGUUUCCCAGUUCCAUUAAGAUGAGCUCAUGCUUCAGAAUUGGUGAAGGAUGGAUAACAAUGCUCAGGGCACUGAGGGAAUAACCCUGAGUUUAAAACAAGCUUCCUGGAAAAUGUCACACCCGAAUUCAUGCCUGAGAGUGUGAAGAUGAAGAGCUCCGCGUGUUUAAAGGACUGGGCACCAUCCGUGGUAGAUGCAUGUUGACCUCGUGUGUUAUCUAUUACUGUUGAGUCCAGCUGGCCUCCCCGCCGCAACCACUUUGUACCCAGGGUUGAAGAUGAGAACCCAACGUUCCAAACUCAACUCAUCAACAAAUCAUCAUUCAGAUGGUAACCAAGGACAACCACAUUGGCUGUUCUCAAUCAGCAGCUCUCCUGUUGGGUUUCCCUUUAGCCCUCCAACCAACUAGGGCAGAUAAAGGAUAUCACUGGUCAGUCUGUUUCUCUCAUUAGCCCAUUUGGCCCAACUCAGCCAUCCCCAGCCUCCACUUGACCUUCACAUCAGUAAUCCUAGGAAAGGAGUUUCUAAAAAAUAAAAAUAAGAAGUUUCUAAAUAAAUAAAAGGUGGUUAUAUCCCAAAAGCUACAAUAAUUUAAAAUGGAUUACUUUAUACUAAAGCCUCCAGAAUUAAUAAAUUAUCUUCAGUUCCAGAUGCUCUGAAAUGACUCCCAUGUCCUCAAAUGUGAUUUUUGACUCACAUGAUAGCCUUUGUUUUCAGGAAAUCCAGGCCCCAAACAUUCUUCAGAUUUACUGAGAGUAACCUAAUCAUUUUUAUGAAAAGAUAAAAUAUUAAUUCAUAUAAUCCAUUUAUAUAAGUAAGAAAAGCACUUUACAACUUUCCUCAGAAAUAUUAAAUAGAGAUAAAAAGGAAGAGUCGGAAAUGGAACUGGAAAUAAAUUUUUGUGCUAAUAUUUAUCAAGAUAGGUCCAAAACAACUAUUGAAAGACGAUAUGUUCUUCUUCCCCAUUGUAGUUAUUCUUAGUGGGUCUCCUAGUCCCCUUGAAAAGAAGCAGGAAUGAGUUGAUUUUAUAACAAAAAAUGUGCAAAGAAAUUAACAUGGCAAUGGUCAUGAACCAUCAAUAGAAAAACUCAAAGAUAAACCUACAGAGAAUGGCGAUCUGGCUUGCCUACCUAAAAGGGAGUUCUUACUUUGACUUUAUACUACUGAUUUUUCCUCAGUUCUUUUUCAAAUGAUAAAAAAAAAAAAAGUGAUGCUCAGAGGAGACUGUUCAGCUUUGCAGAAGGCCUGAGUUCGGCUACGAGCACCCACACUGGGCUGCUUACAACUGCCUGUAACUCCAGCUCCAGGUGAUCUCAUGCCCUCUUCUGGCCUCUGUGGAGAACUGCACUCAUGUGAACAAACCCACAUACAGAUAUACACACAUACACAUAAUUUAAAAAUAAAGUAAAAUCUUAUAAAAAA